UACGGAGGGAGCUAGCGUUGUUCGGAAUUACUGGGCGUAAAGCGCGCGUAGGCGGCUUUGUAAGUCAGAGGUGAAAUCCCGGAGCUCAACUCCGGAACUGCCUUUGAGACUGCAUCGCUUGAAUCCGGGAGAGGUGAGUGGAAUUCCGAGUGUAGAGAUGAAAUUCGUAGAUAUUCGGAAGAACACCAGUGGCGAAGGCGGCUCACUGGACCGGUAUUGACGCUGAUGUGCGAAAGCGUGGGGAGCAAACAGG
rnacentral:rRNA from 1 species